GCAGAACAACUGUACAAAGACGCAACAGGUUUCAUCGACAACAUGUCAUAGUUGUGAAGUCACCGUUACAAGACUAACGACAGAAAAAGCUGAAUUGGAAGAAAAGUAUCACACGUUAAAACGAAAGUAUGACGAGCUUCUUCAAAGUAAUUCAGAUGAGAACUUGGAACGAAAAAGAAAACGAUCAUCAAAUGAUUUUGACGUCGCAGCGUAACAUAUUUUAAAUCUUUGAUGUUUUUUACACUGUAUAUAUGCGAUAUUUAUUUAUUCUUAGCAGCAUAUAAGGUUGCCUAUUUUAUAUUAUUUAUGACACAACUCUCAAAGUUUACCCUUCGUCCCCAGGGAUGUUAAGCUUUUCUAUUGAGACGGGAAGCUUAAAUAAAAAACAUCUAACAAGUCCUGGGGAUGAGGUUGAUAUUUACUAGAUUUUUUAUUUGUAUUCGCACAUAUUGUGUCAAUGACAUGGAUUUACAACCACGAAAACAAAAACAAAAAAAACGUACAAAAACUUAGAGCAUUUUUAUACAACACAGUCUUUCCCAAUUCAUUUUUUCUCGUUAAGAUCCCAUGAACAUGCAGUUCCAACCGUAAUCAAAAAGCUUACUGCUUCCAUUAAUUUUUUUAUAUUUGCUGCACACAUGUGCAAUAAGUCCACUCCAGGUUAAUCGUUGUACAUAAAAAUUUUGGCGGCACGGGAGGGCCCCAGAAAUACGUCUGUCACGCAAAAUGGUAACCGGAGUAGCGAGACACACGAGAUGUGGUAAAUAAAAGACGGGCAAACCCAUGGAUUUAUCCACGAUUCACCGAUUAUUAGGUUCACAAAAUUUUCAAUUUUUUUUAAUAUUGCGCAAGUAUAACUCUACCUCCAAAGCAGGGAAAUAUGAAAAAAACAAUACCUUUUUAGUUUAUUUAAUUAUUAUAAUAUAUAAUAAUUAUAAAAAUAAUUUAGAUCAUUUUUCGGUAUAAAUAAAUAGCAUAAAUUUUCGUUUCUUUUUUGUUGAGGUUUCUGCCAGUGGUGUGAGAAAGGUAGGACAUGGUUAAAACAUUAAACACAAAGCCGCGAA